AUGAGAAACCAGUUCAAAACCGAACCGAUCCACAUAAAAAGAGAAACAAAGCUUACCGGAACUACUAGAAAACCGCCGCUAGAGCCCUACGGUCGUUGCCGAAACCGCCAUCCCCCACCACAGUUCUUUAACAUUUUUGCAUCAAAAGGAUGUUGCAAGAAUCAAAAGGGUUCCAAAACGAUCGCUGCCAAUAAUAUGCUUUAG